ACCCUCUGGUUCCCUUUCCCAUCAGCUGUGGUCACUGGGCUUGGUAGUUGUAAACCGGGAAGAUUACGCCACAGCUGUCCUCGAUGAGUCGUAGUCUGUCUGGUAGAGAGCGUGGGGGCCAGAUUCAAACGGAC
ensembl:snoRNA predicted gene, 24900